UACAGAGGUCUCAAGCGUUGUUCGGAUUCAUUGGGCGUAAAGGGUGCGUAGGUGGCGCGCUAAGUCAGGUGUGAAAUUUCGGAGCUUAACUCCGAAACUGCAUUUGAUACUGGCGUGCUUGAGGACUGGAGAGGAGACUGGAAUUCAUGGUGUAGCAGUGAAAUGCGUAGAGAUCAUGAGGAAGACCAGUGGCGAAGGCGGGUCUCUGGACAGUUCCUGACACUGAGGCGCGAAAGCGUGGGGAGCAAACAGG
rnacentral:rRNA from 1 species